AGAAGAUUUCCAUUAAGAGGAACAGCACUAAUCCACAAUGCAUCCUUGUUUUGUUAUAAAAAUAUUCAUAGGAAAAACAAAAAACGAACCUAAAUAAAACUCCUCCUGAGGUUUUCAGGCCGUGUUAAUCUUCCUUAUUUUCAAGCUUGGGGCUGAAGGAAAACCAAUAAAGCAGAAGUGUCUUGACUGAGGCAGUUGAAAUGUGUCUGGAUAUGUCUCAGGUUGUCUGCUGCAUCCUGUCAUUCAGCUCCGGUUUCCUCUCUCCUCUUCCAGUUGAGUUCCUCUCUCAAACGCUGGCGUUGCCAUUUCCUCCACACAAGUCAUCGGAGCUAGCAAAGGAAGAAGUAAAAAGCCCAGGCACCAGCACCAACAACUCCCGUUUCAACUCCUUGGAAACGAUGACAAGGCAAGAGGUGUGCUGGAGUCAGAACAGCUGCAACCUAUUCCAUAAUCAAGACGUCUACAAAUACUCAGCUCUGCCACUUCUACUCUGCCAGAUGUUCCGCUGACUCUGGUCCCUGUCUCCAGAUCCACGUCUCGUCAUCCUGCUACUCUGUCCUGGAUUCCCCACUCUACUACUCCCCUGGAUUCCUCUGGACCUGCUUACCCUGUCCCAACACCUCUCGCCUCAGCCUCCACACCUGGUUCCCUGCAACCCACCCGAGCUUCCCCUGUCCUGCACUCCAUCUUCCCCAUGUGUUUCAAUAACUACCUUGGUUACUUCAUCCCAGUUUCCUUGCCUGAGUCUGCUCUUGGGUUCCCCUGUUCCACUCCGCGUAACCAGUAACUGCCGGAACCAUGGCUUAUGAUAAUAUAGUCAAUGCCAUAGAUAACCUUUAUGAAUUUGUAUGGUAAUAUUCAUAUGAGAUCUAUUUCCUUUGUGAAAACGGGUGAUAUUUUCGAAUGUAUCGUUGUCAGACAGUCCCCUCUGUACUGUAGCUUUACCUCUUCUUUCAGCAUUAUUGUGAAGUCGUUCAAUGCUGAACUUCUAGAAAAUGUUCUGACUUUAUAUUUUCCGUCUGGGUCGGACAAAGCUUUCUCAGAUGGCGUUGGCUCUUUCAUAGUCUGUGACCUCAACUUUGGUUGCAUCAUGGGAACAAGGGAACAUGGGAACUACCCUUGUAUACUGAGUCCCAUAGUGCCUCCAUAAGAUCCAGAUUGGAAGUAAUUGUAAGCAAAGACCUUUUCUGCCUCCAGGCAGUGUCAGAGAAAAGGCCUACAUUGUCCAAGACUCCAGCCACCCAAGCCACCCAAGACCUCUCUCUGCUACCUCACUGCAAGCCGUACCAAUGCACCAGGUCUAUAACCAAGAGGACCCUGAACAGCUUCUACCCCCAAGCCAUAAGACUGCUAAAUAGCUAGCCAUCGGACUAACUGUAUUGACCCCAUUUUGUACUUACUGUACUGAACAAAAAAAGUUAGUUACAGUUGAUAAGGAAAUCAGUCAAUUCAAAUAAAUUCAUUACGCCCUAAUCCUUUUCACAUGACUGGGCAGGGGCACAGUCAAUCAGUUUUUACACACACGAGCUUAAUCACAGACAGAAAUACUCUGUUUCAUUAGCUGUCUGAGUGGCUUGUUUCAAACGAUCCUGCAGGUGAAGAAUCCAGAUGUGGAGGUCCUAGGCUGGUGUGGUUACACUUGGUCUGGGGUUGUCAGACCGGUUGAAUGUACUGCCAAAGUUUCUAAAAUGAUGUUGAAGGCAGCUUAUGGAAAGAAUGAAUGUUGAAUUCUAUGGCAACAG